rnacentral:rRNA from 1 species
GGGGAAUAUUGCACAAUGGGCGGAAGCCUGAUGCAGCGACGCCGCGUGGGGGAUGAAGGCCUUCGGGUUGUAAACCUCUUUCGCUAGGGAAGAAGCGCAAGUGACGGUACCUGGAGAAGAAGCACCGGCUAACUACGUGCCAGCAGCCGCGGUAAUACGUAGGGUGCGAGCGUUGUCCGGAAUUAUUGGGCGUAAAGAGCUUGUAGGCGGUUUGUCGCGUCUGCGGUGAAAACUCACAGCUUAACUGUGGGGGUGCCGUGGGUACGGGCAGGCUAGAGUGUGGUAGGGGAGACUGGAAUUCCUGGUGUAGCGGUGAAAUGCGCAGAUAUCAGGAGGAACACCGAUGGCGAAGGCAGGUCUCUGGGCCAUAACUGACGCUGAGAAGCGAAAGCAUGGGGAGCGAAC